UCCAGACUCCUACGGGAGGCAGCAGUGAGGAAUAUUGGUCAAUGGCCGGAAGGCUGAACCAGCCAAGCCGCGUGAAGGACGAAGGUGCCGAGCAUUGUAAACUUCUUUUGUCAAGGGACAAAAUCAGGCUCGAGAGCCUGACCGAGGGUACUUGAAGAAAAAGCAUCGGCUAACUCCGUGCCAGCAGCCGCGGUAAUACGGAGGAUGCGAGCGUUAUCCGGAUUUAUUGGGUUUAAAGGGUGCGCAGGCGGAGGUGCAAGUCAGCGGUCAAAUUGCGGGGCUCAACCCCGUACUGCCGUUGAAACUGCAUCCCUUGAGUGCGCGAGAAGUAUGCGGAAUGCGCGGUGUAGCGGUGAAAUGCAUAGAUAUCACGCAGAACUCCGAUUGCGAAGGCAGCAUACCGGCGCGCAACUGACGCUCAUGCACGAAAGCGUGGGUAUCGAACAGGAUUAGAUACCCCCGUAC
rnacentral:rRNA from 1 species